rnacentral:rRNA from 1 species
CAAUAGCGUAUAUUAAAGCUGUUGCGGUUAAAAAGCUCGUAGUUGGAUUUCUGUCAAGGACAACUGGUCCGCCCUCCGGGUGAGCACAUAGUUUGGUCUUGACAUCUUGCUGGAAGCUGUUGCUGCACUUGGCUGUGUGGCGCAGUGUUCAGCACUUUCACUUUGAGGAAAUUGGAGUGUUUCAAGCAGGCACAUGCCUUUGGACACAGUAGCAUGGAAUAAUUAGAUUGGGCUUUUGCUCCAAUUUGUCGGUUUCUGGAGCUGAGGUGAGUAUUAAUGGGGAUUGUUGGGGGCAUCCGAAUUUAGCCGUCAGAGGUGAAAUUCUUGGAUCUGCUAAAGACGGACAACUGCGAAAGCGUUUGCCCAGGAUGUUUUCUUUGA